rnacentral:lncRNA from 1 species
AGACAUGAGAGGGGUCCGGGUUGUACUUACGUAGCAUGGAUACAUGGAACACAUUGUGGACCUUGGAGAGCUCUGGAGGCAGCACUAGUAUGUAGGCGGCAGUACCAAUCCUGUCUAAGACUUCAUAUGAUCCAAUAAAUCGGGGGUUUAGUUUUCCCCUCCUGCCGAAUCUACUAAUUCCUUUGAAAGGAAUGACCUUAAAGAACACCCGGUCGCCUUGUUCAAACGCUAAAUCUCUCCUUCGGGUGUCCGUAUAACUCUUCUGCUUACUCU